rnacentral:rRNA from 1 species
UACAGAGGGGGCAAGCGUUGUUCGGAAUUACUGGGCGUAAAGGGCGCGUAGGCGGCCUUCUAAGUCGAACGUGAAAUCCCCCGGGCUCAACCCGGGAACUGCGUCCGAUACUGGAAGGCUUGAAUCCGGGAGAGGGAUGCGGAAUUCCAGGUGUAGCGGUGAAAUGCGUAGAUAUCUGGAGGAACACCGGUGGCGAAGGCGGCAUCCUGGACCGGCAUUGACGCUGAGGCGCGAAAGCCAGGGGAGCAAACGGG